GACGUAGGGGGCAAGCGUUGUCCGGAAUCAUUGGGCGUAAAGCGCGCGUAGGCGGCCCGGUAAGUCCGCUGUGAAAGUCCAGGGCUCAACCCUGGAAAGCCGGUGGAUACUGCCGGGCUAGAGUCCGGAAGAGGCGAGUGGAAUUCCUGGUGUAGCGGUGGAAUGCGCAGAUAUCAGGAGGAACACCAAUAGCGAAGGCAGCUCGCUGGGACGGUACUGACGCUGAGGUGCGAAAGCGUGGGGAGCAAACAGG
rnacentral:rRNA from 1 species